rnacentral:rRNA from 1 species
UGGGGAAUAUUGCACAAUGGGCGCAAGCCUGAUGCAGCCAUGCCGCGUGUAUGAAGAAGGCCUUCGGGGUGUAAAGUACUUUCAGCGAGGAGGAAGGCGUUGUGGUUAAUAACCGCAGCGAUUGACGUUACUCGCAGAAGAAGCACCGGCUAACUCCGUGCCAGCAGCCGCGGUAAUACGGAGGGUGCAAGCGUUAAUCGGAAUUACUGGGUGUAAAGCGCACGCAGGCGGUCUGUCAAGUCGGAUGUGAAAUCCCCGGGCUCAACCUGGGAACUGCAUCCGAAACUGGCAGGCUAGAGUCUUGUAGAGGGGGGUAGAAUUCCAGGUGUAGCGGUGAAAUGCGUAGAGAUCUGGAGGAAUACCGGUGGCGAAGGCGGCCCCCUGGACAAAGACUGACGCUCAGGUGCGAAAGCGUGGGGAGCAAACA